rnacentral:lncRNA from 1 species
AUAAUUCACCAUAUCCCUUCCAAAUCAAGUAGAGUCCAUGUGCGUUUCAAUACCUUUAGCAAACGCGUGCUACUGUUGUCUAGAGCAACUUGAUUAGGAUGAAUGAAGUCCAUUUAAGAUCUUCAUGUAUAUCUCUGAUCCCGUAGAGAUGUUAUUAUGACCACAUUCAUAGGCUGCAUGUUGAGUUAUUCGGAAACUACCAAACUGACAAAGUAGUGGAGUGUAAUGACAUCCAUUACGAGAGCAUAUCUCAUCGUAAUCGAUCCCAGUGCGUAUUAGUGAGAGAUCUUGCGCCAUAAGGUGAGUCAAAGCUCCUGUUCUCACUACGCUAUCUAACAAAGACAUAGUUGAUAGAGUUUAGCUUGCGGUAUCGGCAUCACCUGCCCAAAGACCUAUCUCUUUGUUAAUGUUGGAUCACAUCUUUCCAUUAGGCCAAUCAACUAAGUUGAUAUCCAUCAACGAAGGGUGGUUCGAUAGUAGACUCAAUAUCCCACGUCCUCAUGUACACUAGUGUAAUACUUGUAGAGAUCUCUAUAUGGAUUAUAUUUGACAUUGAGGCGUCCCCCAACGAUAAUCACAAUUCAGACUUCAUGAGACGAAUUUGAGUAUCACUGAUCAAUGGAUCAGGUUGUGCCAAACUUGCUUUCUUCCUAGUGCGAGAAAAUAUCAAACAUAAGGGCCUCUUCCUUUUAGGGAGCCACACGGCCUUGUGACACCAAUUUUGGCAUUAUUUGGCAUCACCAUUUCACCAUCUAUGGUAAUGGCGCCAAGACCAACUUCUUUUGGUUGCACUAAGUCCUCUUGAUAGGACAUCAAUCCUUGCAGACAUAUUUGCAGCAUGUGGUCUCGUCACUUUAACACUUUAAGCAUUUAGGAUCAAGAGGAGACUUAGUGGGGACAAACCACGACAAUUCACGUUGUUCCACUUGAAGUGUGUUCUUAUCUCCCCCUAACGGCAUGAAUAUUGUUUCAUCAAAGUGACAAUCCGCAAUUUAGUGGUGAAUGAGAUCGUCAGAUAAGGUUUCUACAUAUGCAGAUUAUAGGUGGAGAUUCAUAUCCAACCUAAACUUAUUCAUCUCAAAUGACCCAUCAUUGUGCGCAGCGGCAUUGCAAUUUGGCACCUAGAAAUAAGAUCUAGCCGAGCUCAAAAAUUGGAGAUCCAUUUCUAUCCUGUUUGAGCUCAAGGAUUGUAAUUUUGUGUCAAUCUUGGUACACAGUCACGAGCUGUAGUACAACAAUAUUCAAUGAUGAUGUGUCAUAGAUGAAUAGUAAAGUUGCAUGUGAUAUAACCCUGAACGGAAGUAUUGGUGCACAUCUACCAAUCUUAAGACUAUUAUCAGUCAUUUUUUGUGAGACCAAAUAGGUUAUAGGAGGGCAAAUAUUUUUGUAGUCCCGAGUUCCUCAGGGACGGCAAGUACUGUUGUUGUCCCUCUUCAAUCUUAAAUAAUUUCUUAAAAAUAAUGGGUAGUGAGCCCAUAAAAGUAUAAGUAGCAUAAGCAGUAGAUAAUAGUGUAACACGUGACCGUUUUGUUAACACUUCAACCAACACCAUAAAACAUAAAAAGGUGUCCGCAAGUUGGUUGUAUCGAUCUACAUAAUUUGAUGUAAGAAUGAAGUAUUCUCUUUUGUAUCAUUUAGCGUAGGAGGGUCUCGCUCCUAAUUUUGCUAAAGAAUAGGCUUUUAAAACGAGCAAUGAGCAUUACACGGGGCUAAUGAGACAUCGAAGAAAGGCAGGUACACCUCAAUUACUUGAGGAAUGGAUCGAACGGCUUUCGGGAAGUUGGAGCCGUGGUCGGGUGACAACAAUGUCCCUGGGUGCCGCCAUUUACAACCAUAGUGUCACCAUCAUGCUUCAUGAUGGAGCUAGAUCUUGAAUGUUUUCGUUUUGAGUGGAAGAAUGGAUGUCUAUGAGAAUUUCUCAAAAUUUGGACCGUUAUAUCUCUUCCAGGAUGACCUGAAUUGGUAAAAAUCAAAGCCUAUAUGAGUCGGUGUCCCAAAUAUCAUGUUUGGCGACAACAUGGGAUUCGAUACUCGAAUCGUAGUGACAUACAAUCCACUAAAUUGACUUAGGAACUUCUUCAAGAUGCAUUUCAGUCCGCAUUCAUGAGAAGAUAUACACAAAAGAAUUGUUGUUCAUUCCCAUAAUGUGUUUUCAAAUGAAAACUAUUAACAUGAAUGUCUUUAAAACUCAACAUGGUUCGGUUACCUCUCAAUGCAUAGAGGGCAUAUGUGACGUUGAUCAUGGUUCCAUGAGGCAUCAAGAUUCAAGCUAAACCGCGUCCUUGGAUGACCAGUAUGAUUCAAUCAUUGUAGUCAC